rnacentral:rRNA from 1 species
UACGGAGGGUGCAAGCGUUGUCCGGAUUUAUUGGGUUUAAAGGGUGCGUAGGUGGCUUAUUAAGUCAGUGUUUAAAGUCUUCAGCUUAACUGGAGGUACGGCAUUGAUACUGAUAGGCUUGAGUAAAGUUGAGGUAGGCGGAAUUGAAGGUGUAGCGGUGAAAUGCAUAGAUAUCUUCAAGAACACCGAUUGCGAAGGCAGCUUACUAAGCUUUAACUGACACUGAGGCACGAAAGCGUGGGGAUCAAACAGG